AAACCGGGUGUUGACAAGCGGGAUGAAGAGGCGCGGUUGACUGCCAAGCAGAAGGCGUGGGGGAGUAGAUCUUGGACCUCCGUCCAGCGGCGACGAGGAGUGCAGCUCGCCGGCGAAGCGCUCACAGCUGGACAUCCACAACGCUGCCUAGGCUGCGGCAACCGCGAUUAAGAGACCGUCAGGAAGAGGAGGAAGCAGAGAUGUUGAUGGAAAGGGAAAGAAGAGCAGCUCAGGGCCUUGGUGGUCGCCAUAGCUGCAGUAUUUUUCACUCACACCUGGAAUGCCCAACACCUGUUUGAUCGAUUUCUCAUGAGAACAUCAUUAAUUUGAUUGGUUUUAAGUAGAACAACAAAGGUAAUCAGCGAGUGGAUUGACAUGAAUAAUUUCUCGUCAAGUCUCAUAGUAGUGCUACUCCAUAUAUGAAAACUUCAGUCUCCUAAUCGCACAUACCAUACUGUCCGAUGCGCUUCUAAGCCUGUGAUGCACCAGUUGAGAAGCAAACUCGGAGCUCUCCAUGCAAGCAACAAGCAUGGUCUCCGUGAGUUUUUAGACAACCUGGCUUAUUUAGAGAUCUUAAUGUUGCUACUUCUAUAGAAGGGUAUUGAGUUGGAGCACACUAAUGCUGCACUUAAAUGUUCUAUAUAGUCAGUCAACUGUGCAACUUUCCUUUCUAUAAAGUUGGUGGACUGAGUGAAGCAACAGAUAGGCACAAGAAGAAGAGGUGCAGUACCUUUCAUUUGAUAGUGGUUCAACAUUUUUCCUCAUGGGGCAUGGAACAAUCGUUUGUUGCUGGAUGGUGGCGAUCAAUUAAAAGGUGGACGUGAGCUCCUGCUUCCUUUCUUGAUGGUAAUUCACUCAGAAUAGCCGACGGCAGUUUGAAGCGGAUCGGGUAGCUGCUGUUGUCGGCGUGGCUGCCGAGUGGAGGAUCUAAACUACGUUGGACUGGUGCCACAACGGUUGACCUCCCCGACACCGUUCGAGUUCCUGGGCGUCGCUACAUGCCAUAACACGCAGCAAAGUAACUCCCAUCUCCUAUAAUUUGCUGCUAUAUUCUCAAGAACUGUGUACAGAUGUUUGUCCAUGAUACCCUAUGUCGCAUAAAUGUUUCUGCAGUCCCAUCCAUUAGUGCAAAUGAACCAUUGAAACAUGCAAGCAGAGGGUUCUUAGUUCCCCCUAGAAGAAAUGCAAUCAUGACCAUUGUGCCUAAAUACGUCCAUUUAUGCCCUGGCCAGAUUCUUUAGUUAUGUGAUAGCAACCUGUACCAUAACAUGUUAUUGAUUAACACAAAUAUAUGCUUCAUUACAGAGAAAUCCUUAGAAUUUGAGAAGCCAAAGUAUGAUGAGAGCAGAUCAUUACUUCGUUCAGGUCCAGCUGGGCAUCAAUAUUCGAGAAAUAAGUUACUCUUCUGCUGAAAUAAUAGCAUGGCACAUGUAUUUUCAUUAACUGUUAAGUCCUGCUGUCCAUUCAUACCUCCGUAUCGAAAUAGAAAGAAAGGAACAAUGUGUAAAAAAUAUUCCCUCUAACAAAUUCUUAUUUAUAAAAUUAAUGUAGAACUAAAUUUUCAGCUUCUUCGGUUUCGUUGAAAGCAUUUUCUGAUGAUGGCCAUUUUCAUGUUCCUUUACAAGAGCAAUUCGUCGUAGAGGGCACCUCAUCGGCAAGACGCCCGUGGACCGUGGUGUACAUAAUAUUAUCUCUGCAGUUCAUGCCUGAGCCGUAGCUAGGCACGCGGCGGCGAGCUGGUCAAUGAAGGCGUCACCGCGUCGCUGGGAGAAGGGAAGGACGAGCGGGAGGAGAAGAGAAGCGGGGCUAGCUCGCGCAGCCAGAUGCCCAUCGACGCCCUGCUCCUGCAGUGCCGCUUUUUCCUAUUCUUGAAGGAUUAGUGAUUUUCGCGGUCUAAUUUGGCAAGAAAAUGAAGGAGGCUGAGUUGGUGAUGGCGGCAUGGGAGAGUGGCGCUGAUAGCGGGAAGCUUCUAUGACAUCGGAGACAGCGCCGAGCAAGCUAUCAGCUGCAUCACAAGAUUGGUGCGUUUGUGACCAUUACCAGUAUAAAGUAUACCUUUUAAAGGACCUGGGAACAAGAUAACAUCCUGAGAUGACAACUGCUUUAUUUUUGCAAAUCAAGGAAGGAAACGGAACACCAACUUCGCCCAAAUGUAUUCUCUAUAGCCUUCUGCACUGACCCACAAGGUCUACUGUAUGAUUAGCAUGGUUGUGAUGCUCAACAUGGCCAUUAAAUUAAGGCCCAGUUCUUUUCAGCUUCUCAAGAUGCUUAACUGCAAAAUUAAGCUUAACCUAAAAAGAACUGAAUAUUUAAGCUAAGCUUAGUUUUUCAGCCACCGCUCCUUUCUAUGUAGUUGGAACAAGCCACCCGAGGGCCGCUUCCCGUGGC